rnacentral:ncRNA from 1 species
AGGAUAGAGGCGCGUGGUGCAUCAGUACGCCGGCGGAGCCCAUCAAGGGGCGGGGAGGCCGGGGGAAAGGGCGCCAUGCCGAAGCGGGCGGCUGCUUGAGGGGCCGUGCGCUGGGCGCCGGGGCGAACAGCCCGGCGACUGUCACAAUACACAUUGUGGAGCGCUAUCGUU